CCGAGGGAGGGGUCUGGUCCAUCGGGUGCCACCAGAAGGUGUUCAGGGUCAACUACGCCAAUUCCAAGCGGAUCUCCAUCCACCCAGCCACCCAGGAGAAGAUCCAGAUGAUCGGCGUAUAUGUUGACUACGGCGAGGGCAAGGUCCUGUUCUGUGAUGACAGCACUGGCUCUCACCUCCACUCCUUCCGCGAUUGUAAAUUCAUGUGGGGGCUCCUCCCCUUCUUCAACGUUUCUGCUUCAGGAAACGCACUGACGAUUUGUCCAGUUGUCCAUGUUGCAUGAGUCCGCGUUCAUUGUCCAGUUGUCCAUGUUGCAUGAGUCCGAGUUCAUUGUCCAUGUCCAUGUUGUAUGAGUCCGAGUUCAUUGUCCAGUUGUCCAUGUCUAGGCUGCAUGAGUCCUAGUUCAUUGUCCAUUUGUCCAUGUCCAGGCUGCAUGAGUCCUAGUUGCCCUGGCAUCGAGUGUCCACUUACAAGUUAAUAUCACCAGCAACUUGUCCCAGACCAGCCACAUCGCAGCAACGACCAAGAAAGCAAACCAACGCCUCUACUUCCUGAAGAAGGCUUAGGAGGUUCAGCAUGUCCCCAACAACUCUUCCCAACUUCUACGCAUGCCCCGUGGAAAGCAUUUUAUCCGGGAUUCA